rnacentral:rRNA from 1 species
AGUGAACGCUGGCGGUAGGCCUAACACAUGCAAGUCGAACGGCAGCACAGUAAGAGCUUGCUCUUACGGGUGGCGAGUGGCGGACGGGUGAGGAAUACAUCGGAAUCUACUUUUUCGUGGGGGAUAACGUAGGGAAACUUACGCUAAUACCGCAUACGACCUACGGGUGAAAGCAGGGGAUCUUCGGACCUUGCGCGAUUGAAUGAGCCGAUGUCGGAUUAGCUAGUUGGCGGGGUAAAGGCCCACCAAGGCGACGAUCCGUAGCUGGUCUGAGAGGAUGAUCAGCCAACCUGGAACUGAGAACGGGCCCAGACCCCUAGGGGAGGCAGCAGUGGGGAAUAUUGGAAAAUGGGGGAAAGCCUGAUCCAGCCAUCCCGGGGGGGGGAAGAAGGCCUUCGGGUUGUAAAGCCCUUUUGUUGGGAAAAAAAAGCAGCAGGUUAAAACCCCGCUGUUCUGACGGUACCAAAAGAAUAAGCACCGGCUAACUUCGU